GAGCUCAAAUUUAANAUCUGGCGGCUUCUAGUCGUCCGAGUUGUAACCUGGAGAGGCAUUUUCCGCGUUGGACCGUGUACAAGUCUCCUGGAAUGGAGCGUCAUAGAGGGUGAGAAUCCCGUCCAUGACACGGACCGCCAAUGCUCUGUGAUAUGCCUUCGAAGAGUCGCGUUGUUUGGGAAUGCAGCGCAAAAUGGGUGGUAAAUUCCAUCUAAAGCUAAAUAUUGGCGAGAGACCGAUAGCGAACAAGUACCGUGAGGGAAAGAUGAAAAGCACUUUGGAAAGAGAGUUAAACAGUACGUGAAAUUGUUGAAAGGGAAGCGCUUGAAGUCAGUCGCGUUCCGUGGAACUCAGCCUUACCUCGGUUUGGUGUACUUUCCAUUUGAACGGGUCAACGUCAAUUUUGGCCGGUGGACAAAGACAAGGGGAAUGUAGCGUUGCUUCGGUGACGUGUUAUAGACCCUUGUUGUAUACACCGGUUAGGAUUGAGGACUGCAGCACGCCCUUGUGGCCGGGGGUUCGCCCCACGUAACGUGCUUAGGAUGUUGGCAUAAUGGCUUUAAGCGACCCGUCUUGAAACACGGACCAAGGAGUCUAACAUGCUUGCGAGUGUUCGGGUGGAAAACCCUUGCGCGUAAUGAAAGUGAAAGUUAGGAACCUUCUCGCNAGAGAGGGUGCACUGACGCCCGGCCCUGACGUUCUCUGACGGUGCUGCGGUAGAGCAAGUGCGUUGGGACCCGAAAGAUGGUGAACUAUGCCUGAAUAGGGCGAAGCCAGAGGAAACUCUGGUGGAGGCUCGUA
rnacentral:rRNA from 1 species